rnacentral:rRNA from 1 species
CCCGCCGGCGACCGGCGCACGGGUGAGUAACACGUAUGCAACCUGGCCGCCACAGGGGGAUAACCCGCGGAAACGCGGCCUAAUACCCCGUGACGCCACCGGAGGGCAUCCUCCGGUGGCCAAAGGAGCGAUCCGGUGGCGGAUGGGCAUGCGGCGCAUUAGCUAGACGGUGGGGUGACGGCCCACCGUGGCGACGAUGCGUAGGGGUUCUGAGAGGAAGGCCCCCCACACUGGGACUGAGACACGGCCCAGACUCCUACGGAAGGCAGCAG